GUGAUCCAGCUUAUUAUGGAAGGAGCGGGAGGAUAUCUGGACGCGUGUGACCAGCUAUAUGGGGAGGAGCAGGGAUAUCUUUGGCUGUGAUCCAGCUUAUUAUGGAGAGGAGCAGGGGAUAUCUGUACGCUGUGAUCCAGCUAUAUGGGAGGAGCAGGAGGAUAUGUGUGUGCUGUGAUCCAGCUUAUUAUGGAGAGGAGCAGGGAGGAUAUCUGUACGCGCUGUGAUCCAGCUUAUUAUGGAGAGGAGCAGGGAGGAUAUCUGUACGUGCUGUCAUCCUCUUAUUGCUGUGCUGUCAUGGAGAGAGCAGAGAUGAAGCUACGGAACACCUCUGUGAAAGACCCACACUGUAUUUCUCUGUUUCUUCAUCUCUAUCCUCCGCUCCGAUGGCUGGACCGUACUAACUCUCUCUUUCUCCUUUCUCCCUUCACCCUGCCCUCUCAUCCCUCUCUUUCUCUCUCAUCCUCCACCUAUCCCCUUCACCCUGCCUCCCAUCCCCUCCUCCUCGCCCCUUCACCCUGCCGUCUCCAUCCCUAUCUUUCUCCUUUCCUCCCUCUCUCCUCGUCCCUCAGCCUGCCUCGUCCAUUCCCUUCGCGUUGCCCCUUUUCUCUUCUCCCCUCUCUCCUCAUCCCUUCACCCUGCCUCUCCAUCCCUCUUUUCUCCUUCAUCCCUCUCCCUCCGUCCCCUUCAGCCGGCCUCUCCAUCCCUCUUUCGCCUUCAUCCCUCUCUCCUCGGCCCCUUCACCGGCCUCUCCAGCCCUCUCUCCUCGUCCUUCACCCUGCCUCGCCAUCCUUCUCCGCGUCCCUUUCACCCUGCCUCUCCAUCCCCGUCUCCUCUCCCUUCACCCUGCCUCUCAUCCUACUUCUCCGUCUCCCCUCUUCCCCUCGUCCCCUUCACCCUGCCUCUCCAUCCCUCUCUUUCUCCUUUCAUCAUCCCCUCUCCUCGUCCCCUUCACCCUGCAUCNGAAUUGUGAUUACCGUGAAUUAUAAGUGGAAAUAAAUCUGUCUGUAAACAAUCGUUGGAAAAAUUACUUGUGUCAUUGUUCAAAGUAUAUGUCCUAACUGAUACCAAAAAACUGUUUGUUAACAAGAAAUUUGUGGAGUGGUUGAAUAAACGAGUUUUAAUGACUCCAACCUAAGUGAUGUAACUUCUGACUUCAACUGUAUAUAUACACACACAACACACACACACACAACCACAACACACACACACACACACACACUCUCUCUCUCUCUCUCUCCGGCAUUCAGGCACCUCUCUGGCUUGUACCUAAUCGUUUAACAGACAUUAAUAAACAAAAAUAACUCAAUAUCUACACUACACUCUCUCCCUUCCUUCCUUCCUUUCCUCUUUCCCUGCUUCUCUCCCAAGCUUCGCUCCAGCAUUUUUAACUUCUGAUUAAAUUCCUCUGGAAGGGAAUUUGACGUCUCUGUUUCACAUAUCGGCUCAUACAAUCUUUGAAUUUCUGGUUGUCUCUCUUUCUGGCAUGGCAAGUGUGAGUGAGAGGGCUGUGUGUGUGUUGUGUGUGUACUCUCUCUGGCAUGGUCUAAGUGUGAGUGAGAGAGGCUGUGUGUGUGUACUCUCUCUGCAUGGUAAGUGUGAGAGUGAGAGAGGCUGUGUGUGUCGUGUACUCUGGCAUGGUAAGUGUGAGUGAGAGAGGCUGGUGUGUGUACUCUCUGGCAUGGUAAGUGUGAUGGAGAGGCUGUGGUUGUGUGUACUCUGGCAUGGUAAGUGUGAGUGGAGAGAGCUGUGUGUGUCUCUCUGGCAUGGUAAGUGUGAGUGAGAGAGGCUGAUGUGUGUUACUCUUGGCAUGGUAAGUGUGAGUGAGAGAGGCUGUGUGUGGUGUACCUUUUAUGGCAUGGUAAGUGUGAGUGAGAGAGGCUGUGUGUGUGUGUGUAGUCUGGCAUUGGUAAAGUGGUUGAGUGAGAGAGGCUGUGUGUGUGUGUGUAGUCUGGCAUGGUAAGUGUGAGUGAGAGAGGCUGUGUGUGACUCUUCAUGGCAUGGUAAGUUGUGGAGGAGAGAGGCUGUGUGUGUGUACUCUUUCUGGCAUGGUAAGUGUGAGUGAGGA
ensembl:lncRNA